GAGAGGUGCUGCAUGGCUGUCGUCAGCUCGUGUUGUGAAAUGUUGGGUUAAGUCUCGCAACGAGCGCAACCCCUAUCGUCUGUUGCCAGCAUUAAGUUGGGCACUCUGACGAGACUGCCUGGGUUAACCAGGAGGAAGGUGGGGAUGACGUCAAGUCCUCAUGGCCCUUAUGUCUAGGGCUACACACGUAAUACAAUGGCACAUACAGAGGGAAGCGAACUCGCGAGGGGGAGCAAAUCUCAAAAAGUGUGUCUCAGUCCGGAUUGAAGUCUGCAACUCGACUUCAUGAAGUUGGAAUCGCUAGUA
rnacentral:rRNA from 1 species